GCCCGGGUGGUGGAACGGUAUACACGGGGGACUUAAGAUCCCCUGUCCGCAAGGACGUGCGAGUUCGACUCUCGCCCUGGGCA
rnacentral:tRNA from 1 species